rnacentral:misc_RNA from 1 species
UUUCAGUAGGUGAACCUGCGGAAGGAUCAUUAUCGAGUUUUGACUGGGUUGUAGCUGGCCUUCCGAGGCAUGUGCACGCCCUGCUCAUCCACUCUACACCUAUGCACUUACUGUGGGUAUCAGAUCGUGAAGCGUGCUCUUUUACCGGAGCUUGUGAAGCGUGUCUGUGCCUGCGUUUAUCACAAACACUAUAAAGUACCAGAAUGUGUAUUACGAUGUAACGCAUCUAUAUACAACUUUCAGCAACGGAUCUCUUGGCUCUC